GUACUUUCCUAUCCAGCAAGCAAGACGAAGAGCGAAGAUUUGAAUUGGAAAUCGAACUAUUUCACUGCAAAGAAAACCAUCGACGUCCAUAAAGAUUCAGACAGCCAGGCUCUCAAAGAUUGGUGGAUAUGACUUAAAGAGCUGUUUAAGCACCAUCAUGGACAGGCUCACGACAAAUGAAUUAAUGUCCAAUCUGAACAUGAAGGGGAGAGGGGGAAAACUGCCUUUGCCGAGACGAAGCUGCUCGAUGUAGUCACAGCUAGUGUCUUGGAUACCCAGAAGGGGAUCGAAACGAUGGCCCAUGAUGCCAUAAAAAAUAAACUGAAAUAUGCCCCUGGACGGAAGGGAGGAAUAGGAUGGGCAUCACAGGCUAAAUAAAUAAUUAUAUCGAUUAACAUUCUCCAUUUUCUUUGUACUUAAUUUCAAUUUUGCAUUAACAGGAUUCAGCCUGGAGCUAUA